rnacentral:lncRNA from 1 species
CUUGCAGCUAGGUUGGGGCCAUGUGACUGGCUUCUGGCUGGGAAUUUGAAUCAGAAAUAUCAAGUCUGACCCUAAAAUAUACUUAAGUUUUUCUUACUUUCUCUCUUUCAUUCUCUACAGAACCAAAAGGACUCAUGGCAGAUGUAAAGGAAGGCAUAUCUUAGAGUUGUCACUCUAAGGAAUAAUCAUGCAAGAAAGCCCCUCAGCCUUCAUCAAACUCUGGAGGAUUAUAGAGGGAGUAACCACAGAGAAACAGCAUAAAGCAUAAAUGCCAAAGGAUUCAAAUUGUUAAUCACAAGAUUGUGGAGCCAGACAUUGAUGUUUCUUUGUCCUGAAG